CAUACAUCAUACCUAUUUUAUUUUGCUUGCUUCUGAAAAAGUUCAUAUUGUUUUUGGCGAUAUGGAUGAUAAGAAGAAAAGGUGGAGAACAGAUUCAACAAGAAGUUGAAGUAUUGUAUUGUGAACCAACCAUUCCCGGUGAUAAUUCCAUAAGAAUCGACAGUCAGAACUUCUCUGGACACGAAAGAGACGACCAUGAGAAUCCUUACUCUCAAAAAUGUAUAACCCUUUAUACGAGCCUUCAAAGUUUGUAGUCAAAAUGUACAGAUGUUAACGUGAGUUUUUUGAAAGUAUAGUAAAUUCACGCCACGCAUAUGGGAUCUAAUUCGUUUGGAUUAGCCGCAGGUGCUAUAUAACAACAUAUGUGAAACUAA